UACGGGGGGGGUAAGCGUUGUUCGGAAUUACUGGGCGUAAAGGGCUCGUAGGCGGCCAACUAAGUCAUACGUGAAAUCCCUCAGCUUAACUGGGGAACUGCGUGUGAUACUGGAUGGCUUGGAUUUGGGAGAGGGAUGCGGAAUUCCUGGUGUAGCGGUGAAAUGCGUAGAUAUCAGGAGGAACACCGGUGGCGAAGGCGGAUCUCUGGACCAGUUCUGACACUGAUGAGCGAAAGCCAGGGGAGCAAACAGG
rnacentral:rRNA from 1 species